GCCUCAUUUUUGGGGUGACCAGUAGCAGUUGAUUCACAGAUCUCAAUGCUGUGGCAGGGGCAUAGACACGGAGGAGCUCAGUCAAGUACUGGGGGGCUAGACCAUGCUGAGGACCAU